rnacentral:rRNA from 1 species
CAGCCGCCGCGGUAAUACGGAGGGAGCUAGCGUUAUUCGGAAUUACUGGGCGUAAAGCGCACGUAGGCGGCUUUGUAAGUAAGAGGUGAAAGCCCAGAGCUCAACUCUGGAAUUGCCUUUUAGACUGCAUCGCUUGAAUCAUGGAGAGGUCAGUGGAAUUCCGAGUGUAGAGGUGAAAUUCGUAGAUAUUCGGAAGAACACCAGUGGCGAAGGCGGCUGACUGGACAUGUAUUGACGCUGAGGUGCGAAAGCGUGGGGAGCAAACAGGAUUAGAUACCCCCGUAGUCCCUGUCUCUUAUAC